UGAGUGAAGAAGGCCUUCGGGUUGUAAAGCUCUUUUGUCAGGGAAGAAACGGUGAGAGCUAAUAUCUCUUGCUAAUGACGGUACCUGAAGAAUAAGCACCGGCUAACUACGUGCCAGCAGCCGCGGUAAUACGUAGGGUGCAAGCGUUAAUCGGAAUUACUGGGCGUAAAGCGUGCGCAG
rnacentral:rRNA from 1 species